rnacentral:rRNA from 1 species
ACAAGCAGUGGGAGCACAGAGCAAUCUGUGUGACUGCGUACCUUUUGUAUAAUGGGUCAGCGACUUAUAUUCUGUAGCAAGGUUAACCGAAUAGGGGAGCCGAAGGGAAACCGAGUCUUAACUGGGCGUUAAGUUGCAGGGUAUAGACCCGAAACCCGGUGAUCUAGCCAUGGGCAGGUUGAAGGUUGGGUAACACUAACUGGAGGACCGAACCGACUAAUGUUGAAAAAUUAGCGGAUGACUUGUGGCUGGGGGUGAAAGGCCAAUCAAACCGGGAGAUAGCUGGUUCUCCCCGAAAGCUAUUUAGGUAGCGCCUCGUGAAUUCAUCUCCGGGGGUAGAGCACUGUUUCGGCAAGGGGGUCAUCCCGACUUACCAACCCGAUGCAAACUGCGAAUACCGGAGAAUGUUAUCACGGGAGACACACGGCGGGUGCUAACGUCCGUCGUGAAGAGGGAAACAACCCAGACCGCCAGCUAAGGUCCCAAAGUCAUGGUUAAGUGGGAAACGAUGUGGGAAGGCCCAGACAGCCAGGAUGUUGGCUUAGAAGCAGCCAUCAUUUAAAGAAAGCGUAAUAGCUCACUGGUCGAGUCGGCCUGCGCGGAAGAUGUAACGGGGCUAAACCAUGCACCGAAGCUGCGGCAGCGACACUGUGUGUUGUUGGGUAGGGGAGCGUUCUGUAAGCCUGUGAAGGUGUGCUGUGAGGCAUGCUGGAGGUAUCAGAAGUGCGAAUGCUGACAUAAGUAACGAUAAAGCGGGUGAAAAGCCCGCUCGCCGGAAGACCAAGGGUUCCUGUCCAACGUUAAUCGGGGCAGGGUGAGUCGACCCCUAAGGCGAGGCCGAAAGGCGUAGUCGAUGGGAAACAGGUUAAUAUUCCUGUACUUGGUGUUACUGCGAAGGGGGGACGGAGAAGGCUAUGUUGGCCGGGCGACGGUUGUCCCGGUUUAAGCGUGUAGGCUGGUUUUCCAGGCAAAUCCGGAAAAUCAAGGCUGAGGCGUGAUGACGAGGCACUACGGUGCUGAAGCAACAAAUGCCCUGCUUCCAGGAAAAGCCUCUAAGCAUCAGGUAACAUCAAAUCGUACCCCAAACCGACACAGGUGGUCAGGUAGAGAAUACCAAGGCGCUUGAGAGAACUCGGGUGAAGGAACUAGGCAAAAUGGUGCCGUAACUUCGGGAGAAGGCACGCUGAUAUGUAGGUGAAGUCCCUCGCGGAUGGAGCUGAAAUCAGUCGAAGAUACCAGCUGGCUGCAACUGUUUAUUAAAAACACAGCACUGUGCAAACACGAAAGUGGACGUAUACGGUGUGACGCCUGCCCGGUGCCGGAAGGUUAAUUGAUGGGGUCAGCGCAAGCGAAGCUCUUGAUCGAAGCCCCGGUAAACGGCGGCCGUAACUAUAACGGUCCUAAGGUAGCGAAAUUCCUUGUCGGGUAAGUUCCGACCUGCACGAAUGGCGUAAUGAUGGCCAGGCUGUCUCCACCCGAGACUCAGUGAAAUUGAACUCGCUGUGAAGAUGCAGUGUACCCGCGGCAAGACGGAAAGACCCCGUGAACCUUUACUAUAGCUUGACACUGAACAUUGAGCCUUGAUGUGUAGGAUAGGUGGGAGGCUUUGAAGUGUGGACGCCAGUCUGCAUGGAGCCGACCUUGAAAUACCACCCUUUAAUGUUUGAUGUUCUAACGUGGACCCGUGAUCCGGGUUGCGGACAGUGUCUGGUGGGUAGUUUGACUGGGGCGGUCUCCUCCUAAAGAGUAACGGAGGAGCACGAAGGUUGGCUAAUCCUGGUCGGACAUCAGGAGGUUAGUGCAAUGGCAUAAGCCAGCUUGACUGCGAGCGUGACGGCGCGAGCAGGUGCGAAAGCAGGUCAUAGUGAUCCGGUGGUUCUGAAUGGAAGGGCCAUCGCUCAACGGAUAAAAGGUACUCCGGGGAUAACAGGCUGAUACCGCCCAAGAGUUCAUAUCGACGGCGGUGUUUGGCACCUCGAUGUCGGCUCAUCACAUCCUGGGGCUGAAGUAGGUCCCAAGGGUAUGGCUGUUCGCCAUUUAAAGUGGUACGCGAGCUGGGUUUAGAACGUCGUGAGACAGUUCGGUCCCUAUCUGCCGUGGGCGCUGGAGAACUGAGGGGGGCUGCUCCUAGUACGAGAGGACCGGAGUGGACGCAUCACUGGUGUUCGGGUUGUCAUGCCAAUGGCACUGCCCGGUAGCUAAAUGCGGAAGAGAUAAGUGCUGAAAGCAUCUAAGCACGAAACUUGCCCCGAGAUGAGUUCUCCCUGACCCUUUAAGGGUCCUGAAGGAACGUUGAAGACGACGACGUUGAUAGGCCGGGUGUGUAAGCGCAGCGAUGCGUUGAGCUAACCGGUACUAAUGAACCGUGAGGCUUAACCUUACAACGCCGAAGGUGUUU